UAGAAAUGCGGGUAUGAGCAGCCAGGAUAUUGAUAGGGGCAGUCAAGAAAAGAAUUCUACUGAAAUAAGGAUGAUGAAUUCCCAUGGACAGCUAGCAAAUUAUCUGAUGUGGGAAGCAGGUUCAGGAUUUCUGAACGGAUCACAAAAGCCGAUAACAAGCUUGCACUCAGGUUCUGCUUCCUGGAGAGCCCAGGCUGAUAUCUCACUUCAUAUUUACAACAACUAUGCAAGAUAUGUCUUCUUGUUGUUGUCUCAUAAAUAAAGAAACGGGAGAGUCUAACAAGAUAACUGACUUGUACAGAGUCACACAGCUAGUUGGAGUGCAGUGAUGCAAUCAUGGCUCACUUCAGCCUCUACCUCCUGGGAUCAAGCAAUCCUCCCACCUCAGCCUCUGGAGUCACCGGGACUACAGGCACGUGUAACCAUGCCCAGCUAACUUUUAAAUUUUUUGUAGAGACAAGGGCUCACUAUGUUGCUCAGGCUAAUCUCAAACUCUUGAGCUCAAGUGAUCCUCCUGCCUUGGCCUUCCAAAG
rnacentral:lncRNA from 10 species